rnacentral:rRNA from 1 species
AACGAACGCUGGCGGCAGGCUUAACACAUGCAAGUCGAACGCCCCGCAAGGGGAGUGGCAGACGGGUGAGUAACGCGUGGGAAUCUACCCAUCUCUGCGGAAUAGCUCCGGGAAACUGGAAUUAAUACCGCAUACGCCCUACGGGGGAAAGAUUUAUCGGGGAUGGAUGAGCCCGCGUUGGAUUAGCUGGUUGGUGGGGUAAAGGCCUACCAAGGCGACGAUCCAUAGCUGGGCUGAGAGGAUGAUCAGCCACAUUGGGACGGAGACACGGCCCAAACUCCUACGGGAGGCAGCAGUGGGGAAUAUUGGACAAUGGGCGCAAGCUUGAUCCAGCCAUGCCGCGUGAGUGAUGAAGGCCUUAGGGUUGUAAAGCUCUUUCACCGGUGAAGAUAAUGACGGUAACCGGAGAAGAAGCCCCGGCUAACUUCGUGCCAGCCGCCGCCGUAA